UGAAAAAUGUGUUUUGUAUGAAAGCAAAGGAAGGCAGAAAAAAAUCAACACAUGCUUUAGUGGCUAUUGGAAAUGGUAAAGGGGCUGCAGGUUUUUCAACUGGGAAAGCAGAUGACAGGAUGAAUGCUUUAAGGAAAGUAGUUGUGGAGAGUGAGAAGGUCUCCCCUGAGCUUCCUUCUCCUCAGCCUAAACAGCCCCAGUUCUCUCAGAUGCUCCUCAUAAGACUUGUGCUCCAGACCCUUCUCCAGCGUUGUUGCUUCUUUGGGCACGCAUAAUGAGCUUGCCCUGCAAUGAAGUUCUGUUAAUUCACAUGAGGGUCCUCAGGACUCCUCUGCCUUGCCCCUGCUUUCUGGAGGAGGUUUAGGGCUCUUCUCAGACUCACAGGACAAUAACUGAUGUUUGAGCACUUCCAUGGAUCAGGAAUAAGGCACUUCCACCCCUCAAAACAAAUGGGGUUUCAGUGCUUGAUUCUGUUAGCAUGAGGGAGACCCCUUGGAGCAGGAGGGGGUCAUGGUCUCGGUGCAAAGAUCAGAGGUGGGGAGUGGACCACGGCUGGGUCAGGAGAGGGGAAGGCAGACCAAGCUGGCCACGAAUCCAACGCUGCCACAGACCCACAUGGAGCUUUGAUCCCUCCGAGGAAGUCCUCUUUUGUGGGUUUCCCCGUUUUCAAAAGUUUGUUCGCAUAGAUGCUUUUGUAUAGGUGUUUUACCCAGCAUACAGUUUGCUCAUCGCUCACAGAUAAAGCUGACUAUAAAAUGAGAAACAUUAGAGACUCCUGCGUUUUCCACAGAGCUCGCCCUCGUUUUCCAUUGAGUUUCUUUGCUUUCAGACAAAUCAAAUUCACCUGCAGUUCAGCAGAAGAUGGAAGUGCCUGUAACUCGCUGCGUCACUGGAAGCGAAGUAGCCAAUAUACAAAUAUUUGGGGAACGGCUAACAUUACAGUUAAGAAGCUAUUUAAAGAAGCAAAAGCAACCACGAUUGCAAUCUGGGCAUAGUUAAUGAAUUAUAUGUCUGUAAUCUUGUUUUUAUCACAGGAGCUGAGGUUUUGCCUGCCUUCGAGUGAAUGGUUUAAGUCCAUUUGCCUGCUCUAUAGAGUAGAUGCCUGCAGACCUCCUUGUUUUGCUGAGGAAGCUGGAGGAGAAGGGCAGAGAUGGAAACCAGUUACCUAACCAGUUGAAGUCUGGUGGUGGCUGCAGGGAUGCGAUGGGCCCACGAUUUUUAACACUGUGAAGGGGACUUGUAAGUGCUCUGGAAUAAAGGGCUGAGCUGUGGCUUUUUAAACGGGCUGCUCCAUCUGCAAGGGAAUCCCAGGGAUGGGGAGGAUGAAGGAAAUGGAGUGAGGAGGAUGCUGUUGAAGAUGAGGUGCCGGUCUAGGCUGGAUCUGGAAGUGUCUGAGCAAGGUCUCCAGCAACGCCCCAACACUCUCCUCGGGGCUCUCUGUGGGGACGAGACCUGGUGGUAGAUGGUUUGUAGGUCCUGGGAGAUUCUCUGAGAUCUGGGCAGCAUCUUUCUCUUCAGAAACAUGGAGGUGCCAUUUUCCAGUCAGCUGCUGUGGGCUGCCCAGCUUCCAGGCUCUUCAUGGCUGUGUUGAGACGAUACGAGGGCUGGGCGUGAUGGGCAAUGGAGACCUCAGGCUGGUUUUUUAAGUUUUCUUUUCCUCUAUUUUUUUUUUUUUUUUCCUCUUCUUCCCACCAGGCAAGGAACAUGCAUGUUGCUACAACUCAUCUUGGGACACUCAUUCACCUGCAAACUCAUCAGCUGCAUGGGAUUGAAGUUGGGGCCGCGCUGGGAGGGUUUCAAAAUUGCAGCACUGCUUGGGAUCAGUUCGUUUGGAUGCUCUUAACCCUGUGGUGGCCUUUCUCUCUACCCAGCCCUCCCCAGGGAAAGACUUGGCCCAGGUUACACCGGGGCCGCGGAGUUGCCCUCCCAAUUCCAUGCCCAC